GACGAACGCUGGCGGCGUGCUUAACACAUGCAAGUCGAACGGUGACCCACCGUCGGGUGGCGAUCAGUGGCAGAAGGGUGAGUAACACGUGGGCAACCUGCCCCUGACUCUGGGAUAACUCCUCGGAAGAGAUGCUAAUACCGGAUACCACCACCGUCGGCAUCGGUGGCGACUGGAAGUUCUUCGGUCAGGGAUGGGCACGCGGCCUAGCAGCUCGUUGGGGCGGUAACGGCCCACCAAGGCGACGACGGGUAGCAGGCCUGGGAGGGCGAACGGCUACACUGGGACUGAGACACGGCCCAGACUCCUACGGGAGGCAGCAGUGGGGAAUAUUGCGCAAUGGGCGAAAGCCUGACGCAGCAACGCCGCGUGAGGGAUGCCGGCCUUCGGGUUGUAAACCUCUUUCAGCAGGGACGAAGCGAAAGUGACUGUACCUGCAGAAGAAGCGCCGGCUAACUACGUGCCAGCAGCCGCCGUAAAAC
rnacentral:rRNA from 1 species